rfam:Sphaeroforma arctica JP610 cont1.3303, whole genome shotgun sequence.
GCGAAAUUGGUCUAGUGGUAUGAUUGCCGCUUUGGGUGCGGCAGGCCUCACGUUCGAUUCGUGGAUUUCGCC